GUCCAGUGACUAACAACCUUUUUAAGUAAAGAGUCGCCUACACAAGGCAUGGAGGAAUGAAGGAAAGCCUUACAGUUUCUGUUUGAAAUUUGAUUAAUUAUGAUGAUUUGCUUACAACCUUAAAUUUUACAGCACCACGGUCAUUCUUCUCACUGACAUCGUUCAGAAGCAAGGGUAUUGACUCAAAGCUUAGAUAAUCACUUCAAGAGAAAAGCUUGGAGCUACUCUUGGAAUCAUCAUUCAAGUGACAGUGUAAAGGGAUUAUAUAUAAAAAAUAUGAACGCUUCUUGAAUAUGUUAUAUAUUGUAUUGACCAAAAAUUGCCUAUUGGCAUUCUUGGGAUUUUGGUAGUCUAGGAGCAUUUUUUUCUCCUUCCUCAUUCUCCAGCCUUGUGUGAUGUAUAUAUGAGAAAUAGAACUCUUGCUAGAAUCCUAGUUUUUGACAGCUCAAGGAGAGAUGUGAUUAUGCAGAGCAAUAGCUUGUAUACAAUUGACCACAUUAUUUUACCUUUCUUCUCCGCUUCAUUCAUUUCAUGCGUUUUGUUUUUAGUUGAAAAUGUCUGUACUUGUUAAAGAAGUCGAUACUGUUACGGACAAUAGGCUUCUUUUGCACUCGUUGGUGACAUCAAGGAAAGCUGUGUUCCAUUGAUGUUGGCCCUUAGGCUCAUAGGAAGGCAGUGGAUAUUCUUCAAGACAGAUUGCAGAAACCAGCUCAGUUUUAUGUCUCGUCUCUGCAGGCCGAUAGGCUAAAGGAUUUGCAUCCCUCUUAAUACUGUCAACUCAAAAUAGAUUGGUCGAAGUUAUGUCAAAUCCAAAUGCUGUAACACAGUACUAUGUAUUUUUGUGAUCAGCAAAACAAUUGCUCGUUAAAUUUUAUGGUGACAAAUGGAAUAGUCUUAUGGUUAAUGUUGUGAACUUGAGAUUACAUUACAUAUGGACAGCUUGUUAUUACGCAAGGACAAUUUGUUGUCUGCAUAUUUCUUAAUCUAGGCCGUCCUUGGUCAAGAAAAGGAUCAUAGAGGAGAAAAAUGAAGACAAUCUCGAGAGGAUUUAUGAUUGAAUCGUCGUAACACUGCAUAUCCCUUAAUAUUAUCUCACUGCCAUCCUUUUGGUGAGGAACAUCGAGCCAUCCAUUUGUUGCAUUAGCCGCAGCUCUUCUCCUGUGCCUAGUCUGCUUUCACAUAUUUGAUACAGCUUAUUGCCAUCGGUUCGAGCAAGAAAACUUGGUCAAAUUAAACUUUAAAAUUAACCUUAGCCUACUCAAAACUAGGAGGAGGCAAAGAGAACUAGGAAACUAAUAUGCUAUUAUUACUGCUAGCAGGCAAUAUAGUGACCAGAGAGGACUAGAAAACAACAAAACUGAGGACAUGAAUCCAUUUUUUUAUGACUUUGAUUGAUUCCAUUAAGUAUUUUGAUUAUAGUACCCAAAAAGAAAAGGCGGCAUGAUCAAAGUUUAUUUACUCAACCAGCUCGUUAUUAUCAAUCAGCCUAAACACAAAGUUAAUUGUGUAAGAACCUUGUUUUCUUCAAUGGCCUGUUUGCCUCUCUUCUCCGAAUUCUAACCUUCUUUCGCUAACACUUUGCUUGCAUUUGGAAUGCCAUCGCUUGUAAAUCUUGUUAUAGAGGGUAGAAACUAAACAUAUAUCACAUAUACUCAACAAAUAUCUUUUUAAAAUUAUACGAUUACUCCAAAACAACAUAAAUUACAUAAACUAAACACAAACAUCAAAUUGUAGAAGAACAAUACCAAAACAAUUGCAGAGACAAAACAUAAAUACCAAAUAGCAGAAGUUGAAGAAAAAAUGAAAUACCAAACUUUGCAGAAACGAAAGACAAAAUAUUACUCUAAUUUUUUUUUUUAGGGCUCCACCAUAAACCACGACAAGAGCAUGCUACCGCUUGCAAACCCCCAACCAACUUAUCAAAAAAUUGGAUCCGUGAAAGCUAUGUUUAAGAUUACGUCUCAUUCUAUGAAAUCAACUCUAAUACCAUAUUAAAAUAAUUCAUAUAAGAAAAGAAGACUAUAAUUUUCAAUAAUACAUUAAUUAUGAGUGUAUGCGAAGAAAACUAAAUAAAUAUUGUUUCCUCUCGAGGCUAUUAGUCUACAUUUUUAAAGUUGACGGAUCAACAACUAUUAUAGUGGCCCACAGGCUUUCUACAAUUGGAGAAGCUAAUAUGAUUGCUGGAGUGAAAGAGGGUGUAGUGGUGGGGUAUGGCAGUGAUGAUGCACUCUUGAAUUCUCGUCUUAAUGGUGUGUAUGCUAGUAUGGUACGUGCAGAAACUGAAACUAAUGCAUUUGCUUGAGCUAGUCAUUGACGCAGAUGGACCCAUAAAUGCUUGCCUCUAGCUUAAACCCUCUUUUCCAACAGGGAUCAUGGUGGCUAAUAACUAAGAAAAUAUGUUUUUUUCCGGUUGACUUGGAUUCAGGUCUGAAACUAGCAUCCAAAAACCUAAAAGAUGAUGAUAUCUUACUGCAGUACUGUUAUUCUAGCAUCCAAAAAAUUUAAGUGACUUCUUGCAAACAUGUAACAUUCGAGGCAUGUAUGGAUUCAUCCCAGAACUUCAUCUUUCUGAAAAAUAAUCCCUGGAUGUAAAGGGAGAAGAUAAAAGCGGGGAGAGACGAGGGAGAAGAUGGAAAGGAUAGGAGAAAGAAAUCUUCGACAAUAAAAAAUUGAUUAAAAUGCAUGUACGUAUAUUAUAUAGAGAUUACAUCAUUAUCUUUAUCAACUUAUCAUAUAAUAUUGUUGAAAAAGGGAGAGUUAAAAAUAAGAAUAAAAGAUAUUAUAGAAAAUGUUAAAGAUAAUGUAAAAUAAAUGAUUGAAUGAUUAUUUCUUUCAAAUUAUAAAAUUAUUUAUUAGUACUCAAUGUUGUUAAAUAAUUUAUUACAUAUCACUACUUCACAUGCAAAUUUUAGACAAGUGAUGAGAUUGGCAUCCACAGUUUGUCAUAAUUUGUUUUCUCUAGCCACACUAGGUUUUGAGGCAAACCCAGCUCCUAGACUUUUGGGCCUUCGUCAAGUAAAUCAAAUCAUAAAAAAGAAUGCUUACACUGGAAGUCAUAAUUGAGGAUUUCAGUGGAAUGAAAAUGAUGAAAAAAUAAAGUAAAAUUUACUUAAUCAUCACAGCUGACAGCACUCGUAUGUUUAUCGAAAGAGAGAGUGAUUUUGGUCAAAAAUAGAGUGAUUUAUGGCAUGCAAGGAUAGAACAUCAAAAUAUUUUCACCUUCCUUAAAAACUCCAUACCCUCUAAUCUCAAAAGGGAAAUACUACCACAUUUCAGACAAACAACAUAUGGACCAAAAUACCCACUAUAUACAUCAGCAAUGCUUCCAGCACAGUACUCUCAUAUGAGGUUACAAAUUGUCAUUUCAUAUCAAAAUAGGGGCCGGAACUAACUUCUCAUCAGUUAUGAACACGUCACUUGACUUCCAAGCCAAGAGAGAUUGAUAGUUACUUGUCUUGCAUGCAAAGCUAUGGAGGUUUUGAGGUUUGCCAAUGGUUUCUACUAUCAAAACAAAUUGGUUUCCUUGGAUUGUAGGUGUCUUGUGAUCAUUUCUAUAUGCUAAAAACCUCCAUCUCUUUAAAGUAGAACCCACUUGAUCAUCUCAGGUAUUAUCCUUUUGUUUCUAUCAAUCUUGUGUGAAAUAAUAUAUUUACCUAUGGAUAUGCUUCAGAUUGGUUUGGAUUCAUUGAUGUCAUCUAUGAUUUAGCUCCUUUUUUUCUAUUUUUUUUCCAGAAACUUUUGUUCUAUGUCAAAGUUAUUUACUCACAAGCCAUACUUUUGGAUUCAUUUUGCUAUUGUCUAUUACAAAUUUGAAGAAACUUCUGUAGCUUAUUCCAGUAAAUUCAUUUUCAUGGAGUCUAAAUGGUUCCAGGAUGUUCAUGUUGUAGUAUUGCAUAAGAUAUAAUUGGUUAGAGAUUAAUAGCUACAUAUAAACUGCUAGGAGUUGAAAAAUAUUGCAAACAAAAAGGGUUGAAUUAGCCUACGGGUUUAGGCUAGUGAAAAGAUUUCAGCCUGUGAUGCACGGUGGCUAUAGGCGCAUGUCACAGGUUUGAAUUAAAUGCUAGCCGAAGAAACCUGAGUUUACCUGGUGUAAAGGCAUCAGGGCAUGGGCUUAUUCUCAUAUCCGUAGGUUACCUGAAACUGAAAGGGCUUACAGAACAACAAAAAAAGGGAGAACGGAUAGAUUCUUAAAAACCAUGUAUGGUACCUGAAAAUAAUGCUUUAGUUUUCAGCAUAAAACACUGUUAGUACUGUUGAUCUGACACCAAAAUUUGGCGCAUUAUUCAGCUUUACAAAUUUGGAUGAAGAAAAGUAAUUGGUGGAGGUCCAUAGUCUGAAAUAGAGAAGGAAAAGGUAUGGCAUCUCUUACACCAGGAGUACUGCUUAAGCUUCUUCGGAGUAUAAACUCGAAUGUAAGGGUUCGAGGAGAAUACCGGUCUGUUCUCCUGCAAGUUAUCAGCAUUGUGCCAGCCCUUCAGGCUCAGAACUAUGGCCUAAUCAAGGUUUCUUCAUAAAAGUAUCUGAUUCCUCACAUUCUACCUAUGUCUCAUUGUCGAAGGAAGACAAUGAGCUAAUUUUGAAUAACAAGUUACAACUUGGGCAGUUUUUCUAUGUUGAUAGAGUGGAAGCUGGGACCCCAGUUCCGACUUUAAGUGGUGUUAGACCAGUGGCAGGGAGAAAUCCUUUCAUUGGGAAUCCGAAAGAUCUGAUGCAAAUGUUGGUUCCAUCUGAGGGUUCAGUGCCAGUUAAUGAUGGAGUUAAUAGUUCAAAACCGAGGGAGUUAUCAGAAGUGAAAGGGGAGAAUGCAAGGCAGAAAAUUGUUAUCAAAGAGGAGAAGGCUGGAGUUGCAUCUAGGUAUAUGCAGGGUGUUCUGACAGGAACUCUUAAAGUUGGUGAAGUGGAUUCGAGUGGAAUUGGGAAGAGCAAUGAGAGUGAUAAUAUUGGACCAGGUAAGAAGGUUGGAUUAAUGAAUGGCAAGCAGCAAGAAAAUAAAGGUCAGGUACGAUUUUCCAUUUUGGUUCUGCAGAGACGUAAAUAACUUGUUCUAAUAGUUGCUUUUCUUUAAAUUCUGCCUCUUUUUUCCUUUACUGGUUUAGGUUUCAAGUAAAUUACAGGCGGAAAGACUAUAAGGUUGGAAAUUAUAAAAAUGCACUAGUAGCACAUGAUGUUCUUCCAAUGAACUGUCUGUGAUGCAUCGAUUUCCUUGUACAGCAUAAAAAAAUGGUAGAGAAAUUGCUUUAUGAACAUUUCCAAGAUAUCCAGUGUCCUAUUUUGAUUGAUACAAUUAAGAAUAUAAGGUUCCUUAAUCCUCACAAUAACUUGUUUCGUUUGGUGCUGCACUGUGCUGCAUGAAAUGUACAGUGUACAUUAUGUAACAGUUAUUUGUGUAAGCAUUGCAGGCACGCCCGGCCACUCCUUACCAAAAUCAACCUGAUGCGCUUUCAUCAAAGCCAGACGUCGCCGUAUCCAGCAACAAAGAAUUUCCGGCGUCUUCCAAGAGAACUUCUGCAAAACGGUUAUCAAAUAAACAAGACGAUACAAACUUCAAUUCUUUGUCGAGUAAUAACAAUAAAAUCCCUUUUCCUGAGGCAGCAACAUGGACCUCUUUGCCUUCAAACCUCAUGAAGCCUGGAAAGGUAAGUUUUUCCUGUUUUCCUCACUUUCACCCUUUUUUACGUUGAGGAAGCUUUAGGAUGGUAGGUCUCGAGAAAGCAUUUUCAUUCUUGUGCAUUAUGCUAACCACAUGGAAGAUUUUUUAUCUUAUUGAUCCAAAUAAAUGAUCCAAUUGCCUUCAAGAACGAGUCUUUAACCCACUAAAUGAAGCACCAGAUGUACAAGAAAACUAUGAAAACUCUUUCAUCAGUCUCAGCAUCAUAAUGCAGCUCUCUUUUCUCAUUGUUUAUUAUGUUCUAAGGGAAUGCUUCGAAGGAGAUAUUAGCUACCUUGGUUGCAGCUGAGGCUCAAAAGGAGGCAUCCACUGCUGCAUCUCUUAUCAAGUGCCUCAAGUAAGUACAUAAAUAACAAGGCCAAAACAUAGUUUGAUUCAAAAUAAUACAAGCCGUUUCUCUAUUUCUCUCUAACUUUCAUCCUUUUUCUUUCAGUAUGUUUGCUGAGCUCUGCGCCUCUGCCUCACCGGAGAACCCCCACCUCACUCUCACCAAGUUCUUUACACUCCAACAACUCAUUGACCAACCAAAUGUAACAGCCCCAUUGAAGGAUAAAUCGCUUCAGUCAUUUACUCACUUUUCUUCUCCAGAGACCCAAAAAACAAGCAAAAAGACUAGUCCAAGUAAGGCCAAAGCUACAUUGAAGUCUCCAAAGCCUUCAAUGGAGUUAAGUGCAGCUGAGAAGCAGGAGUGGGCUAAAGGAGACGGUAAAAAAGAGAUCAAAGAACUCCAACAGACUCUUUUGAAUGAAACAAGGGCUUGGUUUUUGAGAUUCUUGGAGGGAGCAUUGGAUGCUGGGUUUCAUGUUGCUGCCCAGGAGAAGAAAGGUAAGGACUUCGCCGCACAACGAAUGGAACCGGAGAACAACCAUAUUGCUGUUGCAUUGUCACAGCUUAAGCAUGCUAAUGAGUGGUUAGAUAUACUAAGAAGCAAAUUGAGCUCUGAGGACAAUAAUGAAUUAGUGGAGACUGUUGAUCGGUUGAAGCAAAAGAUUUAUGCUUGUCUGCUUGCUCAUGUGGAUUCAGCUGCAUCAGCUCUAGAGAAUCGAUCUAAUCGUGGUUGAUUCAGAAAAAAAAAGGGGGGGAUUGUUGGAUUUAGAAUUUUACAUCUCCUCUCUUGUAAACAAAAUAACUUAUAUAUCCAGGUAAUGUUCAUUAUCAAGCAAAGAUCAUUUGUGCCAAACCAUGUCAUAUGAAUUUGACCUGAUGUAUUUAUUAUGCAAGUUAUAUAUGAUGUAAUAAUCUUUAUACAUAAUAAGACCGAUGAAGGUAAACUUUGAUAUGAGACUGAAAUAUACUAAAGCUUUCUUGAUUGAUUCUCUACCUCUAUUGACAAAGAUACGCUGCAAUGACGAGGCAAGAAACACGUAAUGCAGGUGAUGUUGAUAGUCAAGUAAGUUCCUCGAAAAUUAGUUAGGAUUUUUACCUUUAUGACAGAGCUAAAUCCUGCUCUACUUUCUGAAUCCUUGUAGUCAUAAGAGGGAGGAUCCAAGCUGGAGAGCUAGAGCACAUGCAAAACUAUCAGACUUUCAAGUUGAUAGAUUUAGCAUGUGCCCUGCUUCUCCAGCAUGGCUCACCCUCUCCAGCUCUCCCGAUGUUCCGAUUCCAAGAGGUCAGCUUUCUGAUCAAACACGGCUAAAUGCUUCACAAUUAGGAUGAUAUGAACUAGCAGAUGGGGAUCGAUAAACUCUGGAAGCAAGGUUUGUAAAUGAGAACAUUGUAAAUAAUGGGUUAUACAUGAUAGAAAUUACAUGGGAUUAUAUACGUGGUAAAUUGCAAUUUGAGUGGUCCUCACGGAAGCUGUGGAAGCAAAAAAGCUUACUUAGAUCCAACAAAUCAAUGAGCUUGACAAUAUGUUGGUGGGAAGGUAGUUGAUCCCGUGGCUUUCCUUGUUACAUAAGCAUUUAUAUUUAAGCAAAUCUUAAAGGCAUUCUUAACCAAACAAUCGAGCGACUGUUGGAAGUUUGGCUGCCAAAAGAGGUAGCCCAUUUGAAGUGGCGAAUCACAAGAGCACUAGCCAUGUCAGGAAAUAUGAAGGUCUACCAGAUGUCAGCUGAAAGUGGCCUUACCCAUGGCAGGGCAGCCCACCCACCAUCGCCUAGUAGGAGAUCUAAUUAAUCUAUAAGAGAACCCUCUUGCCUAAAAGGCUUCCAAGGAUAAUCAUCCUUGCAAGUUCAUCCUCCUUGCGUGCCUCUGCUUCUGUGUGAGUUCCUCCCUAUCUUAUUUUUAAAAAGGGCAACCUAUUAUUGGAUGUUACUGUAAGCUGUCAUUUUCUUGUAUGGAUUAAUUUUCAUAGCAGAAUAAAAAUUUAAGUGCUUUCUCAGAACAAAUCAUCAGUGUGUUAAAGGAGCGCCUCGUUCAGAAUAAUAAUCCCAAAAAAUCACAAAAUAAGCUGAAAAAUCGUGGCCUUGUAAGAGAUCAGAUAAAACUAAACAAAAACCAAUUGUGUAUUAUAUUUUAAAUAACAUUGUAAUUAAGAGCUUACAAACAGCCCAACUAUAUCUCCACACGUAUGGGAUGCUUUCGUAUGCCCUAGUCAGCAGAUUAAAAAAAGGUAGUUUUUUAGAUUGUAUCCACGAGCAUUAAUGGCUUCGCAACAAAACCAAGCGGGGGGACUGUCAUGUGUACAAUCACUAGAAACAACUCAUAGUAUAUUUAUGGUCUUCAAUACUCACGGAAAGUGAGAUUUAGACGACCUGGACGGAGAUUUGUUUCAUCAAGCAGGGCCGCCGGGGCAGUCUUUGGUUGAACAGAACUUACACCAUGGAAAAUAUGCCGAGACUUCCCGCCAAAGAUCAGUACAUCCCCGGAUUCCAACUUAAUCUUUUCUGCCUUCUCAACAUCCCUCUGAUCACCAUAUAGGAAUUCUCCUAUAUCUCCUAUGGAAAAGGAAACCACAGGUAAUCCUGCGCGCAGACUCUCUGGACUUUCAUCUUUAUCCUGCAUGGAGACAACGUAUUCUAAGCGUGCCAAGAGGCGGUCAGGAAAAGCCAAAGGCAUCUUUAUUAAACCUCAUAAAAUGCAAAAUCAUUUUUUUAAUACAGAACAACGCACAAGGCAACAUAAAAGGUGUCCGGGAAAACUGCAACUAGUAUAAGAAAGUUGACACUGCAAACCUGAUGAAGACCAAGCCGCCCACUUUCUGAGUAAAAGUUUACGACACAGAUGUUAGGUGACAAUGAUGGUAGACUGUCUUCAGCAGCUGUAGAUUUACAAUUUAUUUCUAUAAAAGCAUGGGAAUCUUUGAUUGCUCUCUCAACCAGCCGAUGGAAGUCACUAGGAAAAAUGGGUGCCUUGGCACCAUCAACUGGCCGAUGUUCUACAUACUUACCUCUAUCAGGGUCCCAACUUUUACCAAGGGACAUCAUUUUCAAAUGCAUUCUUCCACCAUCACGGUAAACUGGUUGGUAGAAACCUCCAGGACCCAGACCAAUAUCUCGGCAUAGCUUUAUUAUUUUUAUCUAGUAACAAGUCAAAGCAAACAAUAAAUUAAUACUUGUUAAAUCAUAAGGUAAAUAAUAAAUCAAUGAAAAUGGAAGUUCACAGACUGCACCGUUAAUUUCUCUCAGAAUCAUAACACAAGUCAUCAAUAGACUAGUUGUUAAGACAACAGAAGCCAUUUUUUCAGUAAGGUUUAUUAAUUACCAACUGUCUUACUAUAUUUCAUAGUCCUGUAGAUUUAGGUCGAGCUCACUGUAUGUAAUAUGAACUCAAUAACAUUCUGCAUCAAUGAAUGAAAGCCAAGAGUAGCACAUGUAACUUUUAAAGAGGCAAAGACGAAUUAACUCAAAGGGAAAAGAAUGAGCAUAAAGCAAGCAGCACCUGAUCAUGCAAGGAUAAGUGAUUCUUUAGUAAAACCAUCCCAGGUCUUAGUAUCUGUCCAUACACCCCGUCUGCAGCUCGCCUGACAUCAUUCCUCUUUUCUCUAUUCUUCACAAGCAAAGAAGGUUUUAGCUUAAGAGCAGUUCCAGUCUUGGGCAAGCAAAUAUCAAAAGGCUCAACCUCUGCCUGUUGCUCUGAAUACCCUGAAUCCCCAGCAGAUACCACAAUCUUGGGAUCCUUUUCUUGUGAAAGCUGGUCAUUAGCACCACCUUGAAAUGACAGGUGAGACUCAUUCUGAUUUUGCAAUGGGAAAGUACUAUUCAAUUUGAGAGAGAAAUCAAGGUGCAUUGCACCAUCCUUUGCUCCCUUUUCCAAGGGAGCGCUAACAAUAUCAGAAUUCAUAGACCUAGAACCUGAAAUAGCUGGCAUCAAUGCAGAAUCGUCCUUGUUAACUGAAUUUGAAGCCACAGAACAAUCUGGUUUUAGCUUAGGAGUAGUUCCAGUCUUGGGCAAGCAAACAUCACAAGGCUCAACCACUGCCUGUUGCUCUGAACACCCUGAAUCCCCAGCAGAUACCACAUUAUUGGGAUCCUUUUCUUGAAAUGACAGGUGAGACUCAUUCUGAUUUUGCAAUGGGACAGUACUAUUCAGUUUGCGAGAGAAAUCAAGGUGCAUUGCACCAUCCUUUGCUCCCUUUUCCAAGGGAGCGCUAACAAUAUCAGACUUCAUAUCCCUAGAACCUGAAAUAGCUGGCAUCAAUGGAGAAUCGCCCUUGUUAACUGAAUUUGAAGCCACAGAACAAUCUGACUGAUUUGAUCCAAGACUGCUGCAACUGGGAGCACUUUGGUCGUGCAGGAUCCUUCCCGUACUGGACAUGCUAUCUUCUAAUGACUUAUUUUCUAAUGGUUCCUCCUGGCAAAAAAUGUUACCCGCACUGUUAGGAUAACUUGGAAAACACCGUCGUGAAUUCGGCUGCGAGUUUCUGUCUCUGUUGCUAAAAGGUUUCUCACCAGAAGAAGACUCAUCUGAUCCAACCUACGCCGUUUCCAAAUUACAUGACAUUAGCAAACUUUCCCAUCAAUGCUAACCUCCUAAUACCCAUUUAUUAAUAAAUAAACAAAAUAUGCAAUAACUAUCAGGAUUAAUUAUCAAAAAAAAAAGAAAAGGAAAGAAAUAAACCCAACAAAAUGGGUCCUAAAAAACAAAUUAAAUAAUAUGCAUGCAAAAAAAUAGAUAAAAUAAGUUUAAAUUAAUUUAAAAUGAUGUAUCCAUGAUGAUUAUCACAAUCAAUUUACACCAAACAAGAAAUAUAUUGCCAUAAUAUAAAAAGCCCACUAAUCACAAAACUUGAAGAUUCCAACAUCCAUCAAUCAAUAAAAGAAAAACACCAGGAAUGAAAUAAAAGAAGAGGGACGACGAAGUUACAGAAUAGUGGGAAGAAGGAUCCGAAGAUCUCCCCUUGGGAACCCAAUGCGCGCCUCCUCCGGGACUGCGCCAUGGACCUCGACCUCGAUCUCGUCCUCGACCCCGACCUCGACCUAGAUCUCGUCCCCGACCUCGACCUCGACCAGGAUCACGAUUCAUUGUUGGAUUAAGUUUGGCGGGAAAUAAAUCGAGCUUCUUUAUGAUAAUAAAUCAGCGAUUGGAGGGAUCGAUGUUGUAAUUUGCAAAGACUGUUUGCUUACUUACAAAGCAGGUGACAGGAAAUAUAUAAAUAAAUAGAUAGAAAAAGAAAGGUAAAGGAAGUCAAAGAGUCUGCAGUUAUGAGUUUCUUUUGGUACACUGUUUUUAAGAUUUUAUUGAUGACGAAAUCACUACGAAUACUUCUGUCUUAUCGGAAAUAUAUAAAAAAUUUCAGACAUUAUUUUUUUACAUGAUAGUUAAAGAAUCCUUAUAUUAAACAUUACAACUUUAUCAUAAAAAAAAAAAAAAACCAUCACAUUCAACAUUUUCUCUUCCCUUUUCUAAAUCUUGAACCCAACUCUAAAAUUAUUGUAUGGAAAUUCAACCAAUUGAAUUCAACUCAAUAUCCAAAAAUAAAAAAAAAUACCCAUUAGAUUCUCAUAGUAACUCACAAUGGCUAGAUGGUCCAAGUUCCAAGGUUGGGAAUUGAUGGUUAGUACCACUAAACAUGGAGUAAAAGCUCAUUGAGCCCAUGUAAAUAUUGGGAAACUUAUUCCUAUGAAACCCAUAAUUUGAUAGAAUAUCAAAGUUUUCAUUUUCAAAAUUUAAUGUUGACUGACCAAAAUUAGGAACAAACUUUGAUCCAAUUCUACUAAGAAAGUGUUGCAGCUGCGUUUUAUUUAAAACGCAGUCCGCAACUGUCUGGUAAAAAAAAAAGUGAUUUAUUGUAUAGGAGACCUAUGUGUUUUUUGCGUUUCAAACACCGAAAAGAAAAAACUACAAAAACCUGCUUUAUUUGCACUGUAGCUGAUAAAAAUUAACGAACAAUGCAAUUCACUUGCACUGUCCGUAGUGUUUUUUUUUUUUGGGUUAAGUGUGUUAAUUGUAUUAAUUUUUUUUAAAAAAAACUAGUUUAGAGAAUUAAGUUCAUUCGCGAUGUGAACAAUAUUUGUUUCUUGAAAAACUAGUAUAGAGUGAAUUAAAUUCACUCGCACAGUAAUAUCAAUUUUAUAUCUGAUAAUAUUUUAUCUAAUUUUAUUACACGCUCCAAAAAUUAUGAAAGUUGUAGUUCUUAUCGAAUGAAUUUUGUACGUAAUGGAAUUAUAAAUAGUUUAAUGGAAUAAUAAAAAAUAAUUUAUAUAAAAUUUUAUUUUUUUCAUGAUGUAAUAUGAGUAAUUAAUUUUACAAUAUUUAAAUUUAAAACCAUCAAUAUUAAUAUAUUUUUUAAAAAAAUUAUUUUAUAACCUCAAUUUCAAAAACAUUAUAACCAAACACAUGUAACUACUUUUUCUUCAACCACAGUUUUAACCAAACACUUAUUUUUUCAAAUCAACCUCAAUUAAAAGUAAUUUUUAUAAAAUAAUUUUUUUCAAACCAUAACCACAACAGCUAUCGUAAUACCAAACAUACUGUAACUGAGAGCCAAAUCCCACUUGCCACAUUAGAUCUUCUUGAAAUACGAGAGUUUAAAAGUAUGAUAGCAGUUAUUUUUUUAAAUGUAUUUUUUUAAAAAAAUAUUAAAAUAAUAUAUUUUUUAUUUUUUAAAAAUUAUUGUUCUGCAUCUUCAACAUUCUUUGCUUUAGGGUCUCUACAGGACUCGCCUGGUGAAAGCCCUGUUUCAUGGAACUCGUGCAUGCAUCAUCCAUUUUCAUAUCCACAUGAGACCUCAGAUAUCGAUGCUUAUGUGGACUCUCCAAUUGGGAGUCCUGCAUCGUGGAAUUCUCACUCCUUGAUUCAAAGAGAGACCGAUGCAGCUCGAAUGAGGAAGAAGUGGGGAAGUGCUCAGAAACCUAUUCUUGUUGCCAAUUCAUUCAAUAAUCAGUCUCGUAAGGAUGUAACUAAAGGGUUCAAACGGUUGUUAAAGUUUGGAAGGAAAAGUCGUGGGGCCGAGAGUUUGGUUGACUGGAUUUCUGCUACAACUUCUGAAGGAGAUGAUGAUACAGAAGAUGGGCGAGAUCCUGCUAAUCGGUCAUCAGAAGAUUUGAGGAAAUCAAGAAUGGGAUUCUCACAGGGUCAUCCUUCAGAUGAUGGCUUAAACGAAAGUGAGUUGUUCAAUGAGCAGGGUAAGAUAUAAUUGCUUAUCCUGAUUGGUUAAUUAUUCUUUUUUAUUAGAAUAUCAAUCUACUAUGUACCUGCUUAAUGCUCAUAUGAUAAAUUAAACAUAGUAUGUGUUUGCAACUAUUUCUUUUAAAUGAAAAUUUCUCUUGAUAGCAAGGUUGUCAAAUUUACUUCAGUGUUCUGGUGACCAUAGCUUUAUGGAUUGGCAAUAAUGGCUGGCUUGCUCCCUUAACUGUUGGAUUCAUGAGGUGAUAUAUAGACAGAUAUGAAUCUCGAAUCUAUUUGAAUGUCAAGGAAUUGCAGCAUCUAAAUGUUGCUUGUAGUUUAGAGUAACCUCUACUUUUGAUAUUCUCCCUGCACUGUUUUUUCAAGAGUUUCAAUGACUGUCAAGACCUCUACCAUCUCCUGGAGUGUUUUGCAUAAAAAAGUACUGCCUGAUCUUUGAUGCACGGAUUGCCAAUUUUUUCUGUGCUUAUAUGUUGAAAAACUGCUCAUGGCCUGUGUGAAUUUUUUAUUUAGACAUCAUGUGCCAGAAGUAGUUAAACUGACAUGAUUUGGACAUACUUAUCUAUUAAGGGAGCAUGGUUCUGCUCUAGAUCUUUUCAUCUGAAACUUGUAUAUUUAUGAAUAAAUUGUCCUUUAUGCAACACCUUCAGAUGAGCAGAGAUUCGGCAGAUGUUUUUAAAAAUUGCACAGAUUACUCCAAACAGCAGAACUUUUCCUUUUGGUUUUCUUGAUUGGGUUAUGAUAGUUGUCUUGACCCUUCUCAUUUCAUGCAGUUCAAACUUUAAAUAGCUCCAUACCAGCACAUCCAGAAAACUUCAAAUUGAGGGAUGAUCUUAUGUCCGGAAGCUCAAUUAAAGGUAAUUUUUUUUUCUUGUUAAUAUUCUACGCUCUCAAUUCUUAAAUUUCUUCACAACAAAUUGAUUGACAUGUUAGGCUGUUGGAAUAUUCUGUUAAGUCAUGUUUAGGGGAGGCAUCCGCGCACCAUGUUUUCUUGUUGAUGUAGGAUUCAGGAACAUGAAACUUCCACUCUUGAUAAUGCUUUAUUCAAAAUCUUCAUACAGAUUUGAGUGCGCGCCCUUUUGAAGGUGUUUUGAGUGGUAGGUUUGUUUAUGAGCAUGGUCUCUAGGUCCAGUUCAUGUAUGCUCAUGUUAAAGCCUGCAUGUGAUCCAUGACCUGUGCUCUGCCUAGAAAUCAACAAAAGAGUCGUAGUUUGUGUGAGUGUAUAUGUUUGUAAUGUUGUGCCAAAAAAAUAAGAAUCAUUUGCAAGAUUGUAUGAGUUUGUCUAAGUGCACAUGAGUGGUUCAAGUCCUCCACAGACCCAUUGUUAACGUGUGUUCAAGACAGCUUUUGUUCAAUCUAGCUACCUGACAGAAAACAAGAAAUAAAGAACACUUGAUUAGUUCGACUCUUGCCAGGUGCAAACAAUUCCAUGGGGCCAUCAGACUUGGACAAAGCCCAUGAAUUAACCAUGGUGCACUUGCAGGAAACUCCUUGCCGAGGGCCUGAGCACCCCCAGGAUUAGUCAGGCCUUGGCCUGGAUACCUGGUGCCAAUUUUUUUAUUUAAAAAAGAACACUUGAUUCUUCAUGAUGGAAUAUUUACAAUGUGUUUUGAGUAUAUUUUCGUCCAGUGACUAACAACCUUUUAAUUUAAGAGUCGCCUACACAAGGCAUGGAGGAAUGAAGGAAAGCCUUAAAGUUUCUGUUUGAAAUUUGAUUAUUUAUGAUGAUUUGCUUACAACCUUAAAUUUUACAGCACCACGGUCAUUCUUCUCACUGACAUCGUGAAGAAGCAAGGGUAUUGACUCAAAGCUUAGAUAAUCACUUCAAGAGAAAAGCUUGGAGCUACUCUUCGAAUCAUCAUUCAAGUGAAAGUGUAAAGGGAUUAUAUAUAGAAUAUGAACGCAUCUUGAAUAUGUUAUAUAUUGUACUGACCAAAAAUUGCCUAUUGGCAUUCUUGGGAUUUUGGUAGUCUAGGAGCAUUUUUUCUCCUUCCUCAUUCUCCAGCCGUGUGUGAUGUAUAUAUGAGAAAUAGAACUCUUGCUAGAAUCCUCGUUUUUGACAGCUCAAGGAGAGAUGUAAUUAUGCAGAGCAAUAGCUUGUAUACAAUGACUACAUUAUUUCACCUUUCUUCUCCGCUCCAUUCAUUUCAUGCGUUUUGUUUUUAGUUGAAAAUGUCUGUACUUGUUAAAGAAGUCGAUACUGUUACGG
rnacentral:lncRNA from 1 species